rnacentral:rRNA from 1 species
AGAGUUUGAUUAUGGCUCAGAACGAACGCUGGCGGCGCGCCUAACACAUGCAAGUCGAACGAGAGGCCCUUCGGGGUAGUAAAGUGGCGAACGGGUGAGUAAUACAUGGGUAACCUGCCUUUGAGAGGGGAAUAACCAGCCGAAAGGCUGGCUAAUACCCCAUACGCUUCCGGUCCCUCGGGUAAGGAAGGAAAGCCGCAUCGUGGAUGUGGCACUCGAAGAUGGGCUCAUGGCCUAUCAGCUUGUUGGUGGGGUAACGGCCUACCAAGGCAACGACGGGUAGCUGGUCUGAGAGGACGAUCAGCCACACUGGCACUGAGACACGGGCCAGACUCCUACGGGAGGCAGCAGUGAGGAAUAUUGCGCAAUGGGCGAAAGCCUGACGCACCGACGUCGCGUGGGGGAAGAAGGUUUUCGGAUUGUAAACCCCUUUUAGGAGGAAAGAUGGGGUGGGUCAAACCACCCGGACGGUACCUCCAGAAAAAGCCACGGCUAACUUCNUGCCAGCAGCCGCGGUAAUACGAAGGUGGCGAGCGUUGUUCGGAUUUACUGGGCGUAAAGAGUACUUAGGCGGUUUCGUAAGCCCCCUUGGGAAAGCUACGGGCUUAACCCGUAAAGGUCGAGGGGGACUGCGAAGCUAGAGGGCGGGAGAGGAGCGCGGAAUUCUCGGUGUAGCGGUGAAAUGCGUAGAUAUCGGGAAGAAGGCCGGUGGCGAAGGCGGCGCUCUGGAACGUUACUGACGCUGAGGUACGAAAGCGUGGGGAGCAAACAGGAUUAGAUACCCUGGUAGUCCACGCUGUAAACGAUGGGCACCAAGUGUCGGCGGGGUACCGCCGGUGCCGCAGUUAACGCAGUAAGUGCCCCGCCUGGGGAGUACGGCCGCGAGGUUGAAACUCAAAGGAAUUGACGGGGGCGC